ensembl:snRNA U2 U2 spliceosomal RNA
AUCGCUUCUCGGCCUUUUGGCUAAGAUCAAGUGUUAUAUCUAUUCUUAGCAGUUUAAUAAAUACUUUCUGUUUCAUUGCCUCUGGCAAGUGCCUUUUAAACUAUAGUAUACAGAAAAGUCACCUGUGGAGCUUGGUAAAAAUGCAGAUUUCCUAGCUGGUCUCCCCUUCUU